rnacentral:rRNA from 1 species
GUGACGGUACCUGCAGAAGAAGCGCCGGCUAACUACGUGCCAGCAGCCGCGGUAAUACGUAGGGCGCAAGCGUUAUCCGGAAUUAUUGGGCGUAAAGAGCUCGUAGGCGGUUUGUCGCGUCUGCCGUGAAAGUCCGGGGCUUAACCCCGGAUCUGCGGUGGGUACGGGCAGACUAGAGUGCAGUAGGGGAGACUGGAAUUCCUGGUGUAGCGGUGAAAUGCGCAGAUAUCAGGAGGAACACCGAUGGCGAAGGCAGGUCUCUGGGUAGUAACUGACGCUGAGGAGCGAAAGCAUGGGUAGCGAACAGGAUUAGAUACCCUGGUAGUCCAUGCCGUAAACGGUGGGCGCUAGGUGUGGGGUUCCUUCCACGGGCUCCGCGCCGUAGCUAACGCAUUAAGCGCCCCGCCUGGGGAGUACGGCCGCAAGGCUAAAACUCAAAGAAAUUGACGGGGGCCCGCACAAGCGGCGGAGCAUGUGGAUUAAUUCGAUGCAACGCGAAGAACCUUACCUGGGCUUGACAUAUAGAGGAUCGCUACAGAGAUGUGGUUUCCCUUGUGGCUUCUAUACAGGUAGUGCAUGGUUGUCGUCAGCUCGUGUCGUGAGAUGUUGGGUUAAGUCCCGCAACGAGCGCAACCCUUGUCUUAUGUUGCCAGCACGUUAUGGUGGGGACUCGUGAGAGACUGCCGGGGUCAACUCGGAGGAAGUGGGGGAUGACGU